CCUACGGGAGGCAGCAGUGGGGAAUAUUGGACAAUGGGCGAAAGCCUGAUCCAGCAAUGCCGCGUGAGUGAUGAAGGCCUUCGGGUCGUAAAGCUCUUUUACCAGGGAUGAUAAUGACAGUACCUGGAGAAUAAGCUCCGGCUAACUCCGUGCCAGCAGCCGCGGUAAUACGGAGGGAGCUAGCGCUGUUCGGAAUUACUGGGCGUAAAGAGUACGUAGGCGGUUAUUCAAGUCAGAGGUGAAAGCCCGGGGCUCAACCCCGGAACUGCCUUUGAAACUAGAUAACUAGAGUCUUGGAGAGGUUAGUGGAAUUCCGAGUGUAGAGGUGAAAUUCGUAGAUAUUCGGAAGAACACCAGUGGCGAAGGCGACUAACUGGACAAGUACUGACGCUGAGGUACGAAAGCGUGGGGAGCAAACAGGAUUAGAUACCCUGGUAGUCCACGCCGUAAACGAUGAUAACUAGUUGUUCGGUCACUUGGUGACUGAGUGACGCAGCUAACGCAUUAAGUUAUCCGCCUGGGGAGUACGGUCGCAAGAUUAAAACUCAAAGGAAUUGACGG
rnacentral:rRNA from 1 species